UACGUAGGGUGCAAGCGUUGUCCGGAAUUAUUGGGCGUAAAGAGCUCGUAGGCGGUUUGUCGCGUCGGCUGUGAAAUCCCGAGGCUCAACCUCGGGCCUGCAGUCGAUACGGGCAAACUAGAGUGUUGCAGGGGAGACUGGAAUUCCUGGUGUAGCGGUGAAAUGCGCAGAUAUCAGGAGGAACACCGGUGGCGAAGGCGGGUCUCUGGGCAACAACAUGACGCUGAGGAGCGAAAGCGUGGGGAGCGAACAGG
rnacentral:rRNA from 1 species